AUUGGAGAGUUUGAUCCUGGCUCAGGACGAACGCUGGCGGCGUGCCUAACACAUGCAAGUCGUACGGGACCGGGGGGCAACUCUCGGUUCAGUGGCAGACGGGUGCGUAACACGUGAGAAACCUGACUAUCGGCGGGGGAUAGCCGGCCCAACGGCCGGGUAAUACCGCGUACGAUCCCGGCGGGGCAUCCCGCUGGGAUGAGAGCAGCCGCAAGGUUGCGCCGGUGGGGGGUCUCGCGGCCUAUCAGCUAGUUGGCGGGGUAACGGCCCACCAAGGCGACGACGGGUAGCUGGUCUGAGAGGAUGGCCAGCCACAUUGGGACUGAGACACGGCCCAGACUCCUACGGGAGGCAGCAGUGGGGAAUAUUGCGCAAUGGCCGCAAGGCUGAC
rnacentral:rRNA from 1 species